rnacentral:rRNA from 1 species
CCCUUAGAUGUUCUGGGCCGCACGCGCGCUACACUGAUGCAUGCAACAAGUCUUUUCCUUGGCCGAGAGGCCUGGGCAAUCUUUGAAUAUGCAUCGUGAUGGGGAUAGACGAUUGCAAUUAUUCGUCUUCAACGAGGAAUUCCUAGUAAACGCAAGUCAUCAGCUUGCAUUGAUUACGUCCCUGCCCUUUGUACACACCGCCCGUCGCACCUACCGAUUGAAUGGUCCGGUGAAGCGUUCGGACCGUGGCCUUUGGACGGUUCGCCGUCUGUUGGCUGCGGGAAGUUCGUUAAACCUUAUCAUUUAGAGGAAGGAGAAGUCGUAACA